rnacentral:misc_RNA from 1 species
UGGAGCAAACUCUGGCCAACAAUCUUUCCCCAUUUUCACAACUUAAUCUUCCCCAGGGUAGGAACUCUGUGAUGUCAAAUGGCCACUGGGAUGGCUGGAAUGGGGUCCCAAGCGGAAAUGACAUGGGCAUGGCUGAACUCCUCCGAAAUGAAAGGCUGGGCUAUAACAAGCUCUUUAAUGGAUACGAGGAACCAAAAUUCCGCAUGUCCAAUUCAGGCGAACUGUAUAACAGAACAUUCGGGAUAUAGAUGUGCGUCUGGGAUUUGUUCAGCUCGUUGAGCAGUUGUGGGAGAAACAGUGAAUUAGAAAAAUCAUGUGUGACUAGCAGACGUGCUUGAGAUGAUCAAAGAUACAAUGAUGCUGAAAUGGUGGUAAUAACUCAAGGAUAGCUGUGAGGGAAUAUGAUCGAUUUGCCUUUCUAGAAGGAAUCUUGAUCAUGACUGUCUGAAUACUGCUUUCUGAUUGGUGAAGGAUGAAAUCCUCGAAAACAGGAUGUCCAUAAACCAACAGGUGAAAGCUGCUGAGUUCUUCGGGGCUCCACAGUUGUUUAGACAGGAAACCUUGCGUGAUUGAGUUGGCUGGCGACGUGGGAAUGGAGAAUCAGGUUGUCAAACACAUACAUUACUUGGAGGCGUUGAGACACACACAGCUCACUUUUCUGAGCUUGCCUGCAAUAAUGCAAAUAGUAAAAGCUGAUACAAGUUAUAGAAAUAUAUAUAUCUGUUUAUACCGAACUUUCUCCCAAUUAUUCUGGGAAAAAAAAUGAAAUUUCUGCGUUAGCGAUGAACAUCAUGAACAAGAUUAG